CAACCCCGACACCUGCACCAACGCCUGCACCUACUCCUGCACCAACCCCCACUCCGACGCCUACUCCUACGCCGACACCGACCCCAGCACCAACACCUGCACCAACCCCCACUCCGACGCCUACUCCUACGCCGACACCGACCCCAGCACCAACACCUGUACCGACCCCUACUCCCACACCGGCUCCAACCCCAGCGCCAACUCCGACCCCAACCCCGACUCCUGCACCGACCCCUACUCCGACACCUACACCAACACCUGCACCUACUCCUGCACCAACCCCCGCUCCGACGCCUGCUCCUACGCCGACACCGACCCCAGCACCAACACCUGUACCGACCCCUACUCCCACUCCGGCUCCCACGCCGGCUCCGACCCCUGCACCAACACCGACUCCUGCACCGACCCCUACUCCGACACCUGCACCAACGCCUGCACCUACUCCUUCACCAACCCCCGCUCCGACACCUGCUCCUACGCCGACACCAACCCCAACACCAACACCUGCACCGACCCCUACUCCCACGCCGGCUCCGACCCCUGCACCGACACCGGCUCCUGCUCCCACACCUACACCAACGCCUGCUCCCACACCUGUUCCACAGCCGCCCACAAAGACACCUCCACCGCCGCCCAAAAAGACACCGCCACCGCCGCCCAAAAAGACACCGCCACCCACAAAGACACCUCCACCGCCGCCCAAAAAGACACCGCCGCCCACAAAGACACCUCCACCGCCGCCCAAAAAGACACCUCCACCGCCGCCAUCCUGCCCUACCGACUUCAAAAACAUAUUUGAUUUUAAAAUAGCCAUUUUUAAGUACGCUGAACAAGGCAUUCUUCUUGUGCCUGUCCCUAAUAGCCUGCAGAUCAUCAUUGGAAAGCUCCCUGUCCCACCCUUCGUCAAAGCAAGGUGUUUGUGCUAUGGCCGCACCCUUUUCGGGAUCCUCAUCGGCGACAUAACAUGCGCGAGGGGAUGAACAUGAGCGUGCAUGGAUAUGCUCCGAUCCUUUGCGCAGCAUAAAUUAAAUAAUGUGCACCAGCUGCGCAGCUAUCUACUCGUGCAUGCUACUCGAUCUAUAUUAUAUGUGCAUGCAAGUGUCAUCUGCAUGCGUGCUGCGGGCGUUAACUGGAGUUGACCAGCUGCUUCCGUAUUGUGUGACAAGGUUUAUUGUUGUAUGUGUGCUCAAAUACAAAAACAAAAUAUAUAUUGCUUACUGGAAACGUAUUGUAUGCUCUAAUAUUCGACAUCAAGUAGUGACUUGUGAGCUUUCUGAAUUUUCGCAGCAAGUAACUAACUAAACCUACUGAAACUUUAUGCAUCAAGUACUGACUUCCGAUAUUUGUGAUUUUUUGCAUCAAGUAACAUGCAAAUGAUUGUUUCAAGGAAAAAAAGUAACAUGCAAAUGACUACUGUAUCUACAUACAACAGUACCUUUCUGAAUUGCUCAGAAAAUCCGCGCCUUCAAAAGACAAGAAACACAAAAAUGCUCUCCGGCGGAAUUAGCAACUCCUCCUCCAUGUCCCAUAACUUCAAUCAUAGGCCGCUCCCGUUUCGUGGCUACUUCCCGCUCGCUCGCUGGCCGCGGCGGCCACAGCCCGGUUGGUCAUUCAUCAUGGACCCAUAACCUCCUCUAUUUAGCGAACCUGGUGGGUGGAUGAAUUGCUGGGCCGACGUGUCGGCCCAGGGCCCAAACAACGAAGAAACUGGCAUUUUCGCAACACGCACACAACCCACAACACGCACCGAGCGUGCUGCUGUUCUUUGGCAUGUUGCGUGAGAAGAAUAUUAGAUCCAAUUACAGUCCGUUGCAAACGGGUCGAGAUACCUUAAGAUAAAUUAAGCUUCUACAAACUUUUACAAAAAUUUAAAUAUAGGAACAAGACUAAUUAUUAUAUGUGCAUACAACCUCAAAGGUUCAAAUAUUUGCAACCUAGUUCUAACCCUAUAUACUAACAUGCUAAUUUUAGAAAUUGAUAUUGAGUAAAGUAAAAAGAGAGAAUUAGAACACUGAUUUUUUCCCUGAGGUAUUGAAGAAUCAGCACUUUCCACUAGUUCUCUUUGGAACAUCGAUCCCUUACACUCCCCUUGAUCUCUGCAAGGAUCAAGUGCUUCUAUUAGUUGUAAUCCCUUCCCACUCUGAACCGGCCUAUUCCAAUACCGAGCACAACAUUGGCUCUCUUACAAGACUUCUCCUUAGAGCUAAAAAAACCGCCACCAAACUGUCUGUCUAGGUGAUGUCGAUCACCAAAAGUAAGAAGUAAAGAAUCUCACAUAUAUCUUUUGGCUUUAUAUUAGAGAAAAACAUUCUAGAAUGAUUUUGUGCUCAAGAAGAUCAAAGUCUGCAUAAAUCUCUACACUUGACUUUGCCCAUAAUUUAGUUAGCAUAGGACUGUUCCUAGAAGACUCUUGAUUCUUCUUCACAACUGGUUCCCUAAACCAAAAAAAAUCCCCGUAAUCGUGCGGCAACAUCGCGCGUUAGUUUCUUGUGUGUUUUGGAUUUUGUUUGAACUUCAAUUAUUUAGAAUUUAUAAAGUAAAAAAAUAUCCAAUAUAUUUUAGUUUUUAAAUAUUUUCAAAAUCAACAUUCGAAUGUACCACUUCACUAUAUUUAUAUAGUCAACAAUUUAGAUAUACUGUGUUGAACUAUAUUUUAAUAAAUAUUAACUCUAGCAGUUUGAAAUAUUGACUACAUUAAUUUGAUAUUUUAAACAUACUAGGUAUCCAAUAUUUGGCAAAAAAAAUAAUGAAUCAUCGACAUAUUUGACACAGACUAAAAAAAUAAAACAAAAGAAAGAAAGCCAUCGGCGACAGUUUUUGCAUGCAUAUAUCAGCACCCGUGUUUGGAUCAUUCUGCAGCUAACAAACGGCCUCUCUGACACGCUUGCAAAAACAAUAAGCAGCUGGCGGUUUCCACAGUAUUGGACCGGGUUUUCCACAUUAUUGGAUCGGGAUUGUUAACAACGUGCGUGCGUGCAUGUUCAUCGUCAUCGCGUAUUGGUGAAGUACGUACAUGUAAGUGUGUUUGGUUGCUUGUAUCAUUUAAUUCAUAUAUGGAAUAGUUCAAAAUAAUAAUGAUCCUUUUUAUUUGGUUGGGUGAAUUGUACCAUCCCAUCUAGGAUGAAGCUGUAGGGGGUUGAAGCUUGUGCGACAGUUGAUAUGUCCUAGGGAUAGUACACAUGGCUACAGAUGCAGUCGGGCCAGAUCAAGUGGAAUAGAAACCAGAAAGCUUAUGUGAAGGACACCACUUCGAUCUGUCCUGGUGCUAGGAGAUAGCACACAUGGUGACGAAUGGGACCAGUACAAGAUCAGGCGGAUGAAGGUCAGAGCUUGCUCGGCAGACUCACUUCAGCCUCGUGGGCGGAGCCUGGACAAGAUGACUUGGGUGGGCAUGAGAAUAGGCUUGGAUGGCUCUAAAAUAUUUUUAGAAAUUUUACUAGAGUUUUUGGAAGUGAAAUAAAUGAAAAAACAAUUGUUGGUGUACACUAAAUAGGACUUUUCCACUAUGUAGGAGGAUGAUAAUUUGGAAAAGGAUCUAUAUGAAGUGAAAAAUGGAAAAGGAGGGCAUGGAUAGGUUUGGAAUUGUCCCUAGUAUUUUUGGUGAAUUUUGGUGAAUUUUUAAGAAUUAAGUGAGGGCUUGAGGUGAAAGGUUGCGUGCACUUACCGACUGCACAUAGCAUUUUCAAGCUGGCUGAUGCAAGGGGGUGGGGCGCCCGGUGCGCUGUUCCGUACACCGCGCUCAUGGUCCUUCGUGGAUCGGGGUGGCUUUGGUUGGCGGUCUUGGUGCACUGGGUUCAGGAAGGGAGGGCGUGGUUGGUGGGACGGAGGGGCGGACGGAGGGGCGACGGCAGCGGAUGGCCGCAUACCGCUUCGACACCAAGGCCAGGCGGUGCCGCCGCAGCCGCCAUGGGAGCUACCGUGCGGGGCGCCGGAGCUCGCCGGGAAGGCGAUCCCGAUCUCCACCUGCCACGGGGAUAAGGCCAGGAGGAUAGGGGAUCAAGGCGAGCAAGUUUGGGUGGUUGAGGAGGUGAGGUAGAGCCUCGGGAUGGGGCUGCUAGGGGAAGGCUGAAGUUUGGCCGUGGGGGCGGUGGGGUGCGAUGUUUAGGCCGGGAGGAGCGCCUUUUAUAGGCGGAGGGAUCCACGUCUCCGGGCUUGCUUGGCGGCCAAGGAGGAGGUGCCCGGCGGUGGCGGGGAUAAGGGCGGGGAUUAAUGGCGGCCGACGUCAAUGGUGGAGGCGAAUGAGGUGCGGCCUCUAUCGGGUGGCAGGGAUAGGAAGGAGGGGGGAUGGCUUGCUUGGAGGCUAAGGCGCGCAGGGGGGCGCAUGGGCGCAGUAAAAACCAGCGCGGCGGCGAGCGGUGGCGUGCGGCGGCGCGGAGGGGAUUCCUUCCCCGUCGGCCGGGGCCGGCGCUAGCUGCAGGGCGAGAGGGCCACGCGGGCCGCGUGUGUGUGGGCCGAGCGAGCCGCGGAGGGUAGCCGGGCUGCGAUGAGCCGACCAACUGGGCCGCGGUGCCUGGAUGUGCGCGUGCGGGUGAGGAGUAGGCUGGGCCGGAAGUGAAGGGGGCCGGAGAAUGGAGGUGUUGGCCUGUUAUCAGUUUGGUUUGAUUUCUUAUUUGUUUUAAGGUAAAUUAAAUCCAAAUUUGAAAUAGAUUCCAAAUUUGAAUUUGGUUUGAGGUGUUGGUAUAAAAUUGAGGCUUUUUCGUAGGAGGUUUGAAAUUAGAUGUUGUUUGAGAAUGACUAAAAUUGAAUAGGGAUUUGGACGAAGUUAAUGUUAGGUUUGAAUAUUAUUUCUAGGGUUGAGAAGAUGGAUGGGAUUAAUAUUCAAAUCGUCUCAGAAUUAUGGGAAGAAUAUAAUGGUAAAAAUUUCCCUAGGGUUUUAAGGUUUUGGAUGGAAACCAAGGGUUUGAAUACUAGGGAAUUUGGCAUAAGGCUGGGAUAGAAUUAAUAUUUGAAUAAAUAGUAUUCCUAGGAUUUAGAAGAAGAGAAUAUUCCUAAGGUUGAUUAUAGGAGAAGGCUAGAGCAAUCAAAUGCAACACAUAUGCUCGUAUUUAUGCAAUGUUUUAUUUGUAAAAAGAGUUUUGAAUGUGUCGGAAAAGAGAAUAAGUUUAGUUUAAAGAAAAUUUAAAAAAUCCGUAUUUUUAAAUGCUCCAAAAGCAUGAUACUAUAGAAGCCAUCCCACUUAAUACAUUAUUAUUCUAUUAAUACAAGUGAACCAUAUCGUAUAAGCAAAUUGGUUGAACCUCACCAUCCAAGAUCACAUGGUGCAUGCAACCAAACACACCCGUAAUCGGGUGGUGUACGAUAUUCUUAUUGCUACCAUAUAUGUACGUGAACACGCACGCAGCAGGUAUCAGCACGUACGUAAGUUAGGCGCACAUUCUUCUUACAUUACGUGCUCCAAUUUGCAAAGUUUGAAGUCUCCAGGUCCACACGCGGCUACUGUUGCGCUGCUAGUACAACCGUAGGAGUAGAAAUACAUGCUCGCGCACGAUACAAUAACACGACCUCAACUCAAAUUAUGAAAUUCAGUUUCCACGAGAGCACGUUCGAUUGGUGGAAAUUUACGCGUGAUCGGUAUGCCGUCCGGCACGUACUCGUAACCCACUAAACUAACUUGAUCGACGCCCGUCCGAUCCGCUAGGGCCGCCAUUGCAAGAACUUAAUUAGGAAAUCAGGACGUACGCGUGGUCACUACAAAUACUUGGUAUGGUCGAUACGCUUGAAGCAGAGCGCACACACGGUUGAGAGCAUCCGCAGCUAGUAGCGAUAUGAUGGCGUUCAAGUCCAUGGCUUCCCAUGCGCUCAUGUUCCUCGCCAUGGCACUCAUGCUCGCGGUUUCUGUCCGGGCGCAGGGGUCGUCACCACCACGAGCGCCCACGCCAGCGCCGCCACGUGGUCCGCCGCCUACACCGUCACGGGCACCACCUUCACGGGCACCACCUUCACGGGCACCACCAGCUCCGAGUAAUCCACCUACGGUAGCACCGACUCCCGCUCCAACCCCUGCACCAACUCCAGCUCCAAUGUCAGCACCCACACGAUCACCACCAGCUCCAACUAAUCCACCCAUGCUAGCACCAGCUCCGACUCCGACUCGUGCACCGACACCAGCUCCGACGCCGGCACCGACUCCUUCUCCCACGCCUGUCCCGACCCCUUCUCCGACGCCAGCACCAACCCCUGCUCCGACACCGGCACGGACUCCUGCUCCCACGCCCGUCCCGACCCCUUCUCCGACGCCAGCACCAACCCCUGCUCCGACACCGGCACCGACUCCUGCUCCCACGCCCGUCCCGACCCUUUCUCCGACGCCAGCACCAACCCCUGCUUCGACACCGGCACCGACUCCUGCUUCAGCACCGGCACCGACUCCUGCUCCCACGCCCGUUCCAACUCCUGCUCCGACACCCAUCCCGACCCCUUCUCCAACGCCAGCACCAACCCCUGCUCCGGCACCGGCACUGACUCCUGCUCCCACACCCGUUCCGACUCCUGCUCCGACACCCGUCCCGACCCCUGCACCCACGCCGGCACCAACCCCUGCUCCGGCACCCACUCCGACUCCUGCUCCUGCUCCGACGCCGGUACCAACCCCUGCACCUACACCAGCAUCGAUAGUUGCUCCUACACAAGCACCAACCCCGACACCGACGCCCUCACCAAUACCUGCUCCGACUCCUGCUCCAACGUCCACAUUGACCCCUACUCCGACACCAGCUCCAGCUCCUGCACCAACCCCUGCACCGGUGCUGCCACCUUCAACGCCCAGACCACCACCACCACCCCAAGCUGUGUGUCCUGCCGGCUUCAGUAACCUAGAAGCGUUUAACUCUGCCGUUCUACCCUAUGCUUUACGCCGCACUAUUCUGCUUUUGGUAUCUAAGCCGAGCAUUGCUCUCUUCCCGCCCACCAUCAAAACAACAUGCCUUUGCUAUUUCUCAACUAGCACCACGAUCGGCAUCAUAACCGUUCCCAGUGUCAGAGGCCCCAUCGAAUGCGUGCCUGCCCGAACUGCUUGAGCAUAUGCAUGCAACGCACUUGCAGCGCAAAUGUGCACAUGUUGCGAAGCCAUUUCCUCAUACUUAUUUCCUAUUGAUCAGGCCACCUACUAUAUCAUACUAGUAUUUGAAUAAGUAGCGUGCAUGAAUGUGCGUCUGCAUGCCGAGAGACUGACUUGUGUGUUGAACCUGCGGUAAACAAAGAGUUGUUGUGUUGCUCGUGUAAUGAGUCAUAUGUAUUUGUAUGUGCAUGUGCUCAAAAUACAAAAUACUAUAUACAUAUUCUUGAAGCAUGCGUGUUAAAUGUUUUAUUAUUAUCGAGGAGUUUCUACUACUUUGUGGAAGUAGGCCUAUAUGGUCGUCUCACAAUUUUUAGAGCUACUACAGACGCAAUUAAAAUAUAUAGUAGUUUUAUAUUGUCUAUAACAUACCAUGCUGACUAAGCAAAAUAUAACAAUUUCAAGGGAAAUAUGUAGCAUGACAUAUCCAUCCAUGUCCCAAUAAAAUAACAUGAUAUAAUCACUUCUCUUCUUUUAAUUAAAACAUUGAAUUAGGGGUAGAGAGUGGAAAUAUUGCAAUAACUAUACAAAC
rnacentral:lncRNA from 1 species